CGCCUCGCGAACUCGGACUCAAGCAAGUCCAGCUCCGGCCACCUGAUCUCUCUGACCUGGGGUCUCGACUUUAGGGCGGGGCCUCUUCCUCGCCUCCUGCCUGGACAUCUGCUCCGACCCAAGGUCCUCGCCAGUUCUAGAGGAAAUCCCUAAGGCCUGAGUUGGUCGGGGUGGCUGCCCCCAGGGCUUGCCCCGGAGGCCAAGCGGCGACCAAGUAUCAUCCAAUCUUCCCUAGCAUCCCAAGAUCUGGAAAGGUAGACCGAUCAAGAGAUCUGGAAAGGCGAUGCCAGCGCUGGAUUCAUCUUACAGGCCUCUGCUGCGGAGCCCGCUGGCUUGCUCUUUCUAGCUGUGUACACAUGUGUUCAAUUGUGGAUACACCGACUUAUGAUUGCAAACAAGGCGGGCACUCGGAGCCGAAAGCUAACACAGGUUUCUAGUUUUAGGCCAGGUGUAUUCAGGAAUCCCGACACCAAUUUGCGCCUAGACUCCACGCUUUCUGGUCCUUGACUCGGUAUCUCUAGGGCCGCAGCAUCAAUUCCGUGUCAUCCGAAGUGGUUUAGUUUGUCACCUGCUCCGCAGCGGGGAGCCGCCUCUGUGUUCAACGUUGCUGGCAGGGGGUUUGGAGAAGUUGAAAGCGCGCUGAGCGGUCGCAAGGAGACGGCAGGCCACAGCUGGCCGAAUGGGCAAAGGAACCGCGGGUAGGCCUGGGUACCGCGGAGGGAAUUCUGAAUUGCGAUCCCAGCAUCAGGACCGCAGGACCCCGGAGUUUGUGGCUUGCAACGGGCGCCCCCUCGGGAACGCAGCGCACGUUUGUUCCACGCUGGUGCGAAGCGCACAUAGAGCAACGCCAUGUCUGUCCCCGAGUCUGGUAUAUUUCGGAGUCUGGCAAACCCGCCAUUUAGUGAUGUUUGGCCUAAUCCUGGUUCCUAGCUAGAUAUAGGCAGAAACGAAAUAGUGAUCGGUGUGUUCUCCCUUAAUCCCAAAGCCUGCACAAAAUGAAAAUAUACACACGAAACUCACCAAAUCGUCGCACAAAUACAAAACUAAAACCAACACAGGAAAACAAACUCCCAUGCCCCCUCCCAUUCAAAAGCUCAUUAAGAAAAUCAAAAAUCGAAGAAAACAAAAUAAAUACAUUUGUCGAUGCAGGACACACAAGGCACUAACUGAAACAGAAUCAGAUCAUAUCAAAACACAGCUCAGAAGGAGAAGCCUGGCAUAGGACUCAAAAGGAGACAGUCUACAAGGGCAGAGUAUAAAACCCACACAAAAUCAAACCACGCAGUACAGACAACAAAACCCACCCCAGAGCUAGACCUGAAAAAGCAGUUCCACAAAGAGGGGAGGAAAAAGCAAAACGCAAGAAACAAAAGAUUCACGGAUAAUGGAAACUCUUAGGAAACAAACAACAAAACAAAACCCUAAAUAGGAAGAAAAGAAAAGCCAACAACUCCAGCCCCAGCCCAGGGUGAACUGUCAAUUCCGAAAGAGCUUUUGAUCUCCAGGCGCAGGCAGGCCUCCCCUCCGCAGCGCUGCUUCCCGGCACCCGCGAGGCGGAAG
rnacentral:lncRNA from 1 species